rnacentral:rRNA from 1 species
AGCAGCCGCGGUAAUUCCAGCUCCAAUAGCGUAUAUUAAAGUUGUUGCAGUUAAAAAGCUCGUAGUUGAAUUUCGGGGUUCUUCCGUUGGUCGGGCUAUCCAGUCUGUACUAGCGUGUAGAAUUCCUACCUUCUGGGGAACCAUCAUGUUAUUAAUUUAGCGUGGUGGGAAACCAGAACCUUUACCUUGAAAAAAUUAGAGUGUUCAAAGCAGGCUUACGUCUGAAUACAUUAGCAUGGAAUAAUAGAAUAGGACGGUGGUCCUGUUUUGUUGGUUUCUGAAUCACCGUAAUGAUUAAUAGGGAUAGUUGGGGGCAUUAGUAUUCAAUUGUCAGAGGUGAAAUUCUUGGAUUUAUUGAAGACUAACUUCUGCGAAAGCAUUUGCCAAGGAUGCUUUCAUUAAUCAAGAACGAAAGUUAGGGGAUCGAAGACGAUCAGAUACCGUCGUAGUCUUAACCAUAAACUAUGCCGACUAGGGAUCGGACGAUGUUAAAUUUUAUUGACUCGUUCGGCGUCCCUAC